UCGUUCAAACAUUAGAUCACAUCGCUAUUCUAUCGGCACAGCUCAGUCUUCCAUUUCUCACGACACACUCCAGUUGUCCGUUUUCGUCUCCCUCCCUUUCUCAUUUGUUGUAAACGUUUUCUAGUGUUGUUGAACAGUGCCUACAUACCUUUGUUAGUCGUGCAUUAUCCUUUCCGGUCAUUGUUACUCUUUCUCUCAACUACUAAUCAGUCUGUAGUGGCUACAACGCUCUCUCAGUGAAUAACAAGUUCAGCACAACGCUCUCUCAGUGAGUAACAAGUUCAGCACAACGCUUUCCUUCUCUAAACGACCUACUUACUCCAGUCAGCCUACACCGCCAACGUUUGAGGAAGAUUUCACCGAACGGACAACUCAGUCAACAUGUCCAGUCAAGACGUCGAAGGAUUUGCUGUGGAAGUACGGCGACGGGAUGCCACAACGGAAAGUCUUCAGGCUGCUGUGCCUCCUGAGCAGCCGCAAUUGUCCUCCACAUCACGUAAAGUGACAUGGGGGACAUGCUGCUACUCAAUGGGAACAAUGCUCCUUUUUGUGAUCUGCUGUGCGGGUUGGCAUCUUCGUGAUGAAAUCCUCUACACUAUUGUACACUACAUAUUUAGUGUACAUAGUGUAGAGGUGGAUGAGCAAGACGAAACUAACGUAAGUUGUAGUGUUCUUGAUUGUUGCAAGACUCAGUACUCUUCAGGUUUGUCAUGGUUGUUCUGUCUGUCUGUCUGUCUGCCUGCCUGCCUGCCUGCCUGCCUGCCUGCCUGCCUGCCUGCCUGCCUGCCUGCCUGCCUGCCUGCCUGCCUGCCUGCCUGCCUGCCUGCCUGCCUGCCUGCCUGCCUGCCUGCCUGCCUGCCUGCCUGCCUGCCUGCCUGCCUGCCUGCCUGCCUGCCUGCCUGCCUGCCUGCCUGCCUGCCUGCCUGCCUGCCUGCCUGCCUGUCUGUCUGUCUGUCUGUCUGUCUGUCUGACGUUUCACUCCAGUGUUUCUGUAUCCCUGCACUGUACCAUGCAUCCGUCUGUCCACAUGCCUCAAGAUUUCGCGUCAUUGGGAUGUACAACUGACUGUGUGUCUGUCACGUGUGUAUGUGUGUGUGUGUGCGUGCAUGUGUGUGUGUGUGUGUGCAUGUGCCUGUGCCUGUGUGUGUCUGUCUGUAUGUCUGUGUGUAUGUGUGUGUGUGCGCGCGCGCGCGCGUGUGUGUGUUUGUGUGUGUGUGCUUGUGUAUGUGUGUGUGUGCGUGUAUGUGUGUGUGUGCGUGUGUGUGCGUGUGUGUAUGCAUG